rnacentral:rRNA from 1 species
UACGUAGGGUCCGAGCGUUGUCCGGAAUUAUUGGGCGUAAAGAGCUCGUAGGCGGUUUGUCGCGUCUGCUGUGAAAUCCCGAGGCUCAACCUCGGGUCUGCAGUGGGUACGGGCAGACUGGAGUGCGGUAGGGGAGAAUGGAAUUCCUGGUGUAGCGGUGGAAUGCGCGGAUAUCAGGAGGAACACCGAUGGCGAAGGCAGUUCUCUGGGCCGUAACUGACGCUGAGGAGCGAAAGCGUGGGGAGCGAAGAGG